UUUAAAACCUUCCUCUCAAAUAUGGAAGGUGGGAUUUGUUGCCUUUUAUUAGUGCUCUCCUUCAAGAGGACACAGGAGUUUCUGUUUGCAGAUUAGUGGGUGCUCCUGAAGAGGGAAAUUCAUAAGCUCAGCCAAGCAAUAUUUGCAAGGCUGCGGUUCUGAGCACUGCUUCACAUAUUUGCUGUACACAUGCCAAGAGGAAGUUUUCCUGACCAUGGAGCAAAUUCUUAAAGAAAUACCUGCAAAACAGGUGCUGAUGCCAUCAAGUGAUGGAAGGUGAUAUGCUGAGAUGCUUUAUGUCAGCAAUGAGGGCAAUCAGAUUCCCAGAAAACAAUUCCAAGCUGAUCUCCAGAACAGAAAGAGUUAAUAAAGUUGCUGUGACAAAAUUUAUGGGACUAAAACAAACUAAGUCACUGAUGAAGAAAGGAGGAAGAGUGCAUUUGCUCCUGAGAUCCAGCUCUACUGAGGAUUUUAUCUGUUUUUUCAGAUCCAAGACAAGAGAUUACAUUAUGACUGACAUGCUGAUGUAUUUUUUUACUCCUUGUAAGAACCUAAGCAGUGCAGGAGUUUUGGUACAGGCUGCAUUUCAGCGUGUUGAAAGAUUCUGUGCUUGUUCCAAGAGGCUCCCAAUGAAAUUUCCUCACACUGAAUGUCCAUGGCAUUUCAAUUCUGCACUUGCUACAAAGGCACAGGGCAUGACCAGUUCCUUGGUUUCCAUCCCUCUCACUCCAUUCCCAACAAAUACAGUACAAUGCCAAGUACAGUCCUUUUCACAUGCAGCUUUCCUUCUUCCACCCAGGAUUUAACUGAGAUUUGGAGCACCAAGGGGUGCAGGAAAUUCAACACCGUGUUUGAAGGCCACUGCAAAUGCAAGAGCCACAACUUCUGCCUCAGGAAUAUAUUGUAGGUGCACAGGUGAGGUAGCUGCAGGUGGCUGGAAUGAACACUCCCCUCUUUUCCAGUGAGAGUUUUCAACCUGUACACAUCACAUUUUGCCAUCCCUGUGUAGGACAUUGCUGCAGGACACUUGCUUUGUCUCAGUUCCUGCUGGUGCCUGCUGCCCAUCCUCAGCUCCCCAAACACAGGAAGCAGUUGAUGCUGUCUCAGUGAAGGUUAUUGUUUAGAUCCUAGAAGAAAGGUUCAGAUUCCAGGGAAAUGGGACCUACAGAAAAGAAUAUUAGUCUUUAAUACUAGGGUGAAACCUGUGUUUAGGAAACAUCCACAGAACAUGCAGAAAGUGCAAAUGAGAAAACUCUUACAGCAGCCACAAAAUUCCAAAUAUAGGGGAGCUACAUCUUGGGCCAUCUUCUAUAAUCUGUACCUGUCAGGAACCCAGAAUCAAUAAAGAGAAGCAAAUAUAAUGAGCCUGAGGCAUUUAACAAACAAAACUCAUAUACCAAAGCU